UGGGGAAUAUUGGGCAAUGGGCGAAAGCCUGACCCAGCAACGCCGCGUGAGGGAAGAAGGCCUUCGGGUUGUAAACCUCUGUCCUUGGUGACGAAAAAAAUGACGGUAGCCAAGGAGGAAGCCCCGGCUAACUACGUGCCAGCAGCCGCGGUAAUACGUAGGGGGCGAGCGUUGUCCGGAAUUACUGGGCGUAAAGGGUGCGUAGGUGGCCUUUUAAGUUGGAUGUGAAAUCCCCGGGCUUAACUUUGGUGGUGCAUCUAAUACUGGAGGGCUAGAGUGCAGGAGAGGGAAGCGGAAUUCCUAGUGUAGCGGUGAAAUGCGUAGAUAUUAGGAGGAACACCAGUGGCGAAGGCGGCUUUCUGGACUGUAACUGACACUGAGGCACGAAAGCGUGGGGAGCAAACA
rnacentral:rRNA from 1 species